AUUGAACGCUGGCGGCAGGCCUAACACAUGCAAGUCGAACGAGUGGCGGACGGGUGAGUAAUGUCUGGGAAUCUGCCAGAUGGAGGGGGAUAACUACUGGAAACGGUAGCUAAUACCGCAUACUCUCAGAGGUGCACAGAUGGGAUUAGAUUGUGGGUGGGGUAACGCCUCACCAAGGCGCCGAUCCCUAGCGUGUCGGAGAGGAUGACCAGCCACACUGGAACUGAGACACUGUCCAGACUCCUACGGGAGGCAGCAGUGGGGAAUAUUGCACAAUGGGCUAAAGCCUGAUGCAGCCAUGCCGCGUGUAUGAAGAAGGCCUUCGGGUUGUAAAGUACUUUCAGCGGGGAGGCGUUACCCGCAGAAGAAGCACCGGCUAACUCCGUGCCAGCCGCCGCGGUAAUUC
rnacentral:rRNA from 1 species